rnacentral:rRNA from 1 species
ACUCCUACGGGAGGCAGCAGUGGGGAAUAUUGCACAAUGGGCGCAAGCCUGAUGCAGCCAUGCCGCGUGUGUGAAGAAGGCCUUCGGGUUGUAAAGCACUUUCAGUUGUGAGGAAGGUGGUGUCGUUAAUAGCGGCAUCAUUUGACGUUAGCAACAGAAGAAGCACCGGCUAACUCCGUGCCAGCAGCCGCGGUAAUACGGAGGGUGCGAGCGUUAAUCGGAAUUACUGGGCGUAAAGCGCAUGCAGGUGGUUUGUUAAGUCAGAUGUGAAAGCCCGGGGCUCAACCUCGGAACUGCAUUUGAAACUGGCAGACUAGAGUACUGUAGAGGGGGGUAGAAUUUCAGGUGUAGCGGUGAAAUGCGUAGAGAUCUGAAGGAAUACCGGUGGCGAAGGCGGCCCCCUGGACAGAUACUGACACUCAGAUAGCG